rnacentral:piRNA from 1 species
UGUCAUCACAUUGUCCAAGGUCCCUGCUGU